rnacentral:rRNA from 1 species
GUGGGGAAUCUUGCGCAAUGGGCGAAAGCCUGACGCAGCCAUGCCGCGUGAAUGAUGAAGGUCUUAGGAUUGUAAAAUUCUUUCACCGGGGACGAUAAUGACGGUACCCGGAGAAGAAGCUCCGGCUAACUUCGUGCCAGCAGCCGCGGUAAUACGAAGGGGGCUAGCGUUGCUCGGAAUUACUGGGCGUAAAGGGCGCGUAGGCGGACAGCUUAGUCAGAGGUGAAAGCCCAGGGCUCAACCUUGGAAUUGCCUUUGAUACUGGCUGUCUUGAGUUUGGGAGAGGUGAGUGGAACUCCGAGUGUAGAGGUGAAAUUCGUAGAUAUUCGGAAGAACACCAGUGGCGAAGGCGACACACUGGCUCAUUACUGACGCUGAGGCGCGAAAGCGUGGGGAGCAAACAGGAUUAGAAACCCGAGUAGUCC